rnacentral:tRNA from 1 species
GCGGAAGUAGCUCAGCUGGUAGAGCGCAACCUUGCCAAGGUUGAGGUCGCGGGUUCGAAUCCCGUCUUCCGCUCCA